AACUAAAUCCUUUGCAAUAGUUACAGCAAAGCAGGCUUAGAGGAGGAGGAAGGAGAAGGGAGGAAGGCAAUGUGGGGAGAACUGGUGAUGUUCUGACGUGAUGCAGAGACCUGGGAUCACCACCGAGCUAAACCUACACGAAGUGUACAACCAGGAAACUGAAUAGCACCACUGGCAAAGACCGUCCUCUCCCCAGACAGCCGAGAGUGACGAACACCUGAGCAGACCAAUGGCUUUGGCACGGCGGGAUGGAACCAACCCGAGCGUUUGGUCUCAGCCCACAGAGCCCAUGGAGGCAGAGCUGAUGGAGACCCAAACCUCCUACAGCUCCGGGAGGUUUAUCUGGCAGUAAUCUAACGGCUGGGUCACGUGGAGCCGGGCCGCAGAUUUAUAAUCGCGUACUUGAAGAUCACAGGCUAUGGAAAUUAUUGCUGCGCUGGCUGGAAUACAUUAUGCAAAGCAAUGCGUUAUCUGGAAGCCUGCACCGCACGCACACGCGCGCACACACUUCGGUGAUCUAUCUAUCGCUCCCCAUGCAGAUGUUCUGCUGCAAAGAAGUUCUAAUUAAUAUAUUGAGAAUACGUUUCCUGCCUUGUCUGCACCGGAGAUGAGCAGGGAAACAGCACUGAGUGGGGGAAAAGCCCCCACCGUGGAAGGAGUGAUAAAGAGAAAGGCAGGGACUUCAAAGCAGUUGGAAACAAGUGGGGUGUGAACUGGGGCCCAGCUCGUGCCCUGAGCGAGUGGUGGGGCUGAUGGCAACACAGGGCCAUAGCAGCAGCUGCAGCUCCUCAGUCCUCCUGCAGUCCCCCUGUCAGGAUAACUCUUCUCUCCCUCCAUCCAUUCAGGAGUUGGACUCCAGGAUCCUUACGGGUCCCUCACCCAUGACACUCCCCCAUACAGAACAGUCAAAGACCACAACAUCUGCUCCAUGAGGUGCAGCCCAGGAGCUAUUCCUCCCUGCGAGGCUGUGGGCAUUACUGCUGGCAUCAUCUGUCCCAUCACAAAGGGACAGCUUACAUCACCCCCCCGAGUAGCUGCAGAGAACCACGAAAGGAUGGGAGAUGAGGUGAGCGAGGCACAGACCCAACAGUGGGACACAGCUGGGCACCUCCAUCCCGCCCCAUAGGGGCAGUGAGAACCAGAACCCCCCCAGUGAACAUCAUCAGUCACGGAGGGCUCAGGCUUCACACAGGGAGAAACCCAGAUCGAUAACCCAGAGCAGAAGAGAUGUGAAAUUAGCCUUGCCAGGCUGGGGAGUGCUUUUAAAUUGCAGCAGAAGUGGUUGAGAGAUAGCUUGCUCUCCACAGGAACUUCUCCCCAUCCUUGGGAUUUAAGCCUGUUAAUAGUGGAGUAUGAUGAUAUUAUCUGUUUGUAUUGCACUUUUUAUCACAGACGGCUCCCAGGGUGAUUUGCUAUCAUGCCCUCUGAGAGCUGCUGAAACAUGGGAGCUGCAGGAAGCAGCAGUGAUGUAACCACCAUCUCGGUAGCAGC
rnacentral:lncRNA from 7 species